GCAGCAGUGGGGAAUUUUGCGCAAUGGGGGAAACCCUGACGCAGCAACGCCGCGUGGGUGAUGAAGGCCUUCGGGUCGUAAAGCCCUGUCGGGAGGGAAGAAAUGAUUGAGAGCUAAUACCUCUUGGUCUUGACGGUACCUCCGAAGGAAGCACCGGCUAACUCCGUGCCAGCAGCCGCGGUAAUACGGAGGGUGCAAGCGUUGUUCGGAAUUAUUGGGCGUAAAGCGCGUGUAGGCGGUCUUUUAAGUCUGAUGUGAAAGCCCCGGGCUCAACCUGGGAAGUGCAUUGGAAACUGGGAGACUUGAGUACGGGAGAGGAGAGUGGAAUUCCUAGUGUAGGAGUGAAAUCCGUAGAUAUUAGGAGGAACACCGGUGGCGAAGGCGGCUCUCUGGACCGAUACUGACGCUGAGACGCGAAAGCGUGGGUAGCAAACAGGAUUAGAUACCCUGGUAGUCCACGCCGUAAACGAUGAGUACUAGGUGUUGCGGGUAUUGACCCCUGCAGUGCCGUAGCUAACGCAUUAAGUACUCCGCCUGGGAAGUACGGUCGCAAGACUAAAACUCAAAGGAAAUUGACGGA
rnacentral:rRNA from 1 species